rnacentral:rRNA from 1 species
AUUGAACGCCGGCGGCAGGCCUAACACAUGCAAGUCGAGCGGAUGAAGGGAGCUUGCUCCUGGAUUCAGCGGCGGACGGGUGAGUAAUGCCUAGGAAUUUGCCUGGUAGUGGGGGAUAACGUCCGGAAACGGGCGCUAAUACCGCAUACGUCCUGAGGGAGAAAGUGGGGGAUCUUCGGACCUCACGCUAUCAGAUGAGCCUAGGUCGGAUUAGCUAGUUGGUGGGGUAAAGGCCUACCAAGGCGACGAUCCGUAACUGGUCUGAGAGGAUGAUCAGUCACACUGGAACUGAGACACGGUCCAGACUCCUACGGGAGGCAGCAGUGGGGAAUAUUGGACAAUGGGCGAAAGCCUGAUCCAGCCAUGCCGCGUGUGUGAAGAAGGUCUUCGGAUUGUAAAGCACUUUAAGUUGGGAGGAAGGGCAGUAAGUUAAUACCUUGCUGUUUUGACGUUACCAACAGAAUAAGCACCGGCUAACUUCGUG